rnacentral:lncRNA from 1 species
AUGAAGUUAAAUAAAACAACUAUACUCUUCCUUGAGGCAUUGAAAACCACACCCUGCAGGCAGAUGGGAGAAAGCCAAGAUUUCACCAUGGAUCCAAUGGAAAAUCCUGUUCUUCAAGUGAGAGAAAGCAAGUCACAAAACAGCAGCCACAAUUCCACAAGGUAAGUCACCUCAAAUUCACACGAUAAUACACUGUGUGCAUUGAUAAUGUACAGUAGCCAU